CCGAUGGCCUUCUGCCACUUAGUUAAUGUGCACCUGGCAGCUUAGGUGGCCGCGGAGAAAGCAACUUUGGCUGCACCAAGGUCCGGCACAAGUCUGGAGAAGCUUCAGCCAGUUCCAGCUUUGGUAUCAGGAUGACGCUGGCCUCAUAAAAUGAGUUAGGGAGGAUUCCCUCUCUUUCUAUUGAUUGGAAUAGUUUCAGAAGGAAUGGUACCAGCUACUCCUUGUACCUCUGGUAGAAUUCGGCUGUCAGUCUGUCUGGUCCUGGACUUUUUUUGAUGGCUGGAGUCAGCUGGCAAAUACAGAAGCAGGAAACAUUACACUGAAGCUCAGAAAAUAAUAUCCCCAAAUGAAGGCAUCAGAAAUAAAA
rnacentral:lncRNA from 1 species